rnacentral:hammerhead_ribozyme from 1 species
AUCCUGCUGACGAGUCCCAAACAAGACGAAACGUGCAUCCUGGAU